GACGAACGCUGGCGGCGUGCCUAAUACAUGCAAGUAGAACGCUGAAGAGAGGAGCUUGCUCUUCUUGGAUGAGUUGCGAACGGGUGAGUAACGCGUAGGUAACCUGCCUUGUAGCGGGGGAUAACUAUUGGAAACGAUAGCUAAUACCGCAUAACAAUGGAUGACACAUGUCAUUUAUUUGAAAGGGGCAAUUGCUCCACUACAAGAUGGACCUGCGUUGUAUUAGCUAGUAGGUGAGGUAACGGCUCACCUAGGCGACGAUACAUAGCCGACCUGAGAGGGUGAUCGGCCACACUGGGACUGAGACACGGCCCAGACUCCUACGGGAGGCAGCAGUAGGGAAUCUUCGGCAAUGGGGGCAACCCUGACCGAGCAACGCCGCGUGAGUGAAGAAGGUUUUCGGAUCGUAAAGCUCUGUUGUAAGUCAAGAACGAGUGUGAGAGUGGAAAGUUCACACUGUGACGGUAGCUUACCAGAAAGGGACGGCUAACUACGUGCCAGCAGCCGCGGUAAUACGUAGGUCCCGAGCGUUGUCCGGAUUUAUUGGGCGUAAAGCGAGCGCAGGCGGUUUGAUAAGUCUGAAGUUAAAGGCUGUGGCUCAACCAUAGUUCGCUUUGGAAACUGUCAAACUUGAGUGCAGAAGGGGAGAGUGGAAUUCCAUGUGUAGCGGUGAAAUGCGUAGAUAUAUGGAGGAACACCGGUGGCGAAAGCGGCUCUCUGGUCUGUAACUGACGCUGAGGCUCGAAAGCGUGGGGAGCGAACAGGAUUAGAUACCCUGGUAGUCCACGCCGUAAACGAUGAGUGCUAGGUAUUGGAUCCUUUCCGGGAUUCAGUGCCGCAGCUAACGCAUUAAGCACUCCGCCUGGGGAGUACGACCGCAAGGUUGAAACUCAAAGGAAUUGACGGGGGCCCGCACAAGCGGUGGAGCAUGUGGUUUAAUUCGAAGCAACGCGAAGAACCUUACCAGGUCUUGACAUCCCGAUGCUAUUUCUAGAGAUAGAAAGUUACUUCGGUACAUCGGUGACAGGUGGUGCAUGGUUGUCGUCAGCUCGUGUCGUGAGAUGUUGGGUUAAGUCCCGCAACGAGCGCAACCCCUAUUGUUAGUUGCCAUCAUUCAGUUGGGCACUCUAGCGAGACUGCCGGUAAUAAACCGGAGGAAGGCGGGGAUGACGUCAAAUCAUCAUGCCCCUUAUGACCUGGGCUACACACGUGCUACAAUGGUUGGUACAACGAGUUGCGAGUCGGUGACGGCAAGCUAAUCUCUUAAAGCCAAUCUCAGUUCGGAUUGUAGGCUGCAACUCGCCUACAUGAAGUCGGAAUCGCUAGUAAUCGCGGAUCAGCACGCCGCGGUGAAUACGUUCCCGGGCCU
rnacentral:rRNA from 1 species